UUGUAGCUCAUCUUAAAUCAUUACUAUUGAAAACACAUAUUUCAAACAUAUAAGAGCAUAUUCAGAAUAUUUGUAUUUAUGUUGAGUUUUGGUAUGAAUUUGAACAUUAUAUACCAAAGUUAAGCAAGUUGAAGGAUAAAACAAAAUCAAUUCAUUUUGCCUAAAUAGAGAUAUCCUUCUCUUCUCCUUUUUACAAAUUUAUUCAA
rnacentral:lncRNA from 1 species